ensembl:lncRNA
UUUGCUCUUCAUUUCAACAUGUCUUUUCCUCUUACUCUUUGUGAUUUUCACUUGAUCCUUUUGAGUUUUGAUUCCAAAGUUCUUAAGAGACAGAGAUCCUAUUGGCUGGUGCAAGACCAUAGCAGUUGUGUGUGUGUGUGUGUGUGAGAGAGAGAGAGAGAGAGAGAGNNNNNNNNNNNNNNNNNNNNNNNNNNNNNNNNNNNNNNNNNNNNNNNNNNNNNNNNNNNNNNNNNNNNNNNNNNNNNGGAGAGGGAGAGGGAGAGGGAGAGGGAGAGGGAGAGGGAGAGCGCUGAGUCACUGUCUCCCAUUUCUGGCUUUGCUUCUCACAUCCACAACCCAUGUGCUCUACUUCCAUUUUUUCCUCUCAUUCCUGUUCCAAGCACAUCUGAAGGUCAAAAGGAGCAUCUCGGAAUCCUCAAGAAACAAGAAGAAAACACACUUGGAUUUGCAGAUAUCUCGAUAUUUUAACUGUGUUUUUUAAAAAAGGAUAAACAGCUCUUUUAUUCAGAAAAAGUUCAGGCAUUAUAGUAUAAAUGAAAGAAUCUCAGUCAAAAAAGCUCAACAUUCGACUAUCUGGACAGCAAUAGAGCAUGCACUCAAAGUGAAAAGAAAAUGACAUGAUGCUUAAACAAUGUUUUAAAGUCCCCCCUGCCACCCAUUUUAGGGGGAGGGGGCAUGGGGAGGAGCUUGGAUGAUGAAAGUAAGAGCAUCUCAAGGGUGGAUGAAGACAUUAAAAGUGAGCAAUAUCCAGUUGCUUCCAGCUGGCUGGCCUGUUUUAACCCAGGGGAAAAAAAAUGGCAUUGGUAACUAGUUUUGUUUCUCUUUACCAUCGGAAAAAUAUUCAGAGAAAAACACUUCUUAUUCAUUUGGCAAAUAUUUACUGAGCUCCAAUCAUGUGCUAGGUACUAUUCUAAAUGAUAAUUAAACAGCUGUGAACCUGCCUGGCCCCUAUAGUUUUGAGGAUACUAAGUACAGGUCACUUUGGCCAUCAAAUUCAGUGUCAUUUUCAGUUCCACAGAAGUCCCUUAAAUGCUGAGCUACAGAGGUGGAUUCUUAGUAAAACCAAAGAAUUUUAAGCUUCAUAGUUGCUUACUUUUAUGGGCCUUUCCUGUGCAUCCUCCUCAAGAAUUUAGUACUCAUUUCAAUACAUGGGCCACUGCUCAUGAAUUAUGAAUUAUAGGUGAGCUCAAUGGGUUGCCAGUAACCCUUUUAUUUUGGCUGGCCCCCAGUGACAUUCUACAUUGUGUGGGGGCUUCCCCAGGUAUCCCAAACCCAACUCUGGCAUCAAGAAGAUUCUUUUUUUUUCCUUUUAACGAUUUUUAUUUUUCUAUUAUAGUUGGUUUAGAGUGUUCUGUCAAUUUUCUGCUGAACAGCAAAGUGACCCAGUCACACAUGCAUAUAUACACAUUUUUUUUUCUCACAUUAUCCUCCACAGUGCUCCAGCAUAAGUGACUAGAUAUACUUCCCAGUGCUAUACAGCAGGAUCUCAUGGUUUAUCCAUUCCAAAGGCAAUAGUUUUUAUCUAUUAACCCCAGAUUCCCAGUCCAUCCCACUCCUUCCCCCUUGGCAACCACACAUCUGUUUUCCAGGUCCAUGAGUUUCUUUUCUGUGGAAAGGUUCAUUUGUGCUGUAUAUUAGAUUCCAGAUAUGUGAUAUCAUAUGGUAUUUAUCUUUUUCUUUCUGACUUACUUCACUUAGUAUGAGAGUCUCUAGUUCCAUCCAUGUUGCUGCAAAUGACAUUAUUUUAUUCUUUUUUAUGGCUGAGUAAUAGUCCAUUGUUUUUAUAUACCACAUCUUCUUAAUCCAUUCAUCUGUUGAUGGACAUUUAGAUUAUUUCCAUAUAUUAGCUAUUGUGACUAGUGCUACAAUGAACAUACUGGUGCAUGUGUCUUUUUCAAGGAAAGUUUUGUCCAGAUAUAUGCUCAAGAGUGGGGUUGCUGGGUGAUAUGGUAGUUCUAUAUAUAGUUUUCUGAGGUACUUCCAUACUAUUUUCCAUAGUGGUUGUACAAAUUUACGUUCCCACCAACAGUGCAGGAGGGUUAAGAAGAUUCUGAAUAGGAUGCUCCUCUCCUCUCUACCCAGGGCCCUCCAGACUAAGACUCCACCAUGAGCACCUUUCACCUUGCACUUCCCCGACCCUGCUUCCCUUGUCCAGGACUGCCAACAGGAUGCUGGACCAGGCUGAGCUGGACAGCCAUAGCCAGGUAGCCAGUUGAAUCCCUCUCCAGUGAUAACAAAGGUCUGGAGUCUCAGAGGGCUUUUCCUAGGACAAGAUGUACCUCCAGAUCAAGAAAUUAUUUCAGCUGUGGCAUGAUCAACAAGUUCUGGAGCGGAAGGAAACCUUUCUAAACCACAAAUAACAAAAAACAUCUAUCUAUUAUGUCAGAAGACAAAGUUGUCUUUCUAUUCUCUGUACAUAAAAUGGCAUUGUAAAAUUUUUACCAUGUGAAAAAAGAUCAAUGAGUAUAACGCCAAAAAUAUAGGGAAAAGAUGUAUUACAUAGAUGGGUCAGCACUUAAGUUGUAAUUGUAGCAAAAAUUGUUAAUUAAAAC